rnacentral:rRNA from 1 species
GCAUCUCUUGAGAGCGGCGGACGGGUGAGUAAUGCCUAGGAAUCUGCCUGGUAGUGGGGGAUAACGUUCGGAAACGGACGCUAAUACCGCAUACGUCCUACGGGAGAAAGCAGGGGACCUUCGGGCCUUGCGCUAUCAGAUGAGCCUAGGUCGGAUUAGCUAGUUGGUGGGGUAAUGGCUCACCAAGGCGACGAUCCGUAACUGGUCUGAGAGGAUGAUCAGUCACACUGGAACUGAGACACGGUCCAGACUCCUACGGGAGGCAGCAGUGGGGAAUAUUGGACAAUGGGCGAAAGCCUGAUCCAGCCAUGCCGCGUGUGUGAAGAAGGUCUUCGGAUUGUAAAGCACUUUAAGUUGGGAGGAAGG